rnacentral:misc_RNA from 1 species
UUUUAUUAGUUUUGCGGUAACUCCAUUGGAAUCGCAAGCGAUAUCCGCCGAAGAUUAUUCGCGGGCUUUGUUUCAAGGUUUGCUAUCAUUCUCCGAGGAGAAAUCCAGCGGGUUUAAAAUUGUUUGAAAGCAUCAAGGUCAGACGAAUGGUCUCUUCGAAAGGCCGGAGCCAGUUUCAGAAGACACAUCCUCGGUAAGUACUAGGCCACAAAGGGCACUAGGUUACCGCCAACACAAGACGGGUGUUUUCGCGGGUCAAACUUCGGUCUCUUCGGCCUAAGCCUCGGAGAACCUCGGUUUUGUUUUUUGGGUGUGGUAAUGAUCCUUCCGCAGGUUCACCUACGGAAA